rnacentral:rRNA from 1 species
UACAUGGGGUGCAAACGUUGCUCGGAAUUAUUGGGCGUAAAGCGCACGUAGGCGGUCCGUUAAGUCGGAUGUGAAAGCCCCCCGGCUCAACCGGGGAAGUGCAUCCGAAACUGCUGAGCUUGAGUUCUUAAGAGGAUCGCGGAAUUCCCGGUGUAGAGGUGAAAUUCGUAGAUAUCGGGAGGAACACCAGUGGCGAAGGCGGCGAUCUGGGAAGAUACUGACGCUGAGAGGCGAAAGCGUGGGGAGCAAACAGG